GCGGGCGUAGCUCAGUUGGUGGAGCGCAACCUUGCCAAGGUUGAGGUCGCGAGUUCGAGACUCGUCGCCCGCUCCA
rnacentral:tRNA from 1 species